CGGAGUAUGGCGCAGCCUGGUAGCGCACUUGCAUGGGGUGCAAGGGGUCCCGAGUUCGAAUCCCGGUACUCCGACCA
rnacentral:tRNA from 1 species